rnacentral:rRNA from 1 species
CCUACGGGAGGCAGCAGUGAGGAAUAUUGGUCAAUGGGCGCGAGCCUGAACCAGCCAAGUAGCGUGAAGGAUGACUGCCCUACGGGUUGUAAACUUCUUUUCUCAGGAACGAAGCAAGUGAGGGUACCUGAGGAAUAAGCCACGGCUAACUACGUGCCAGCAGCCGCGGUAAUACGUAGGUGGCAAGCGUUAUCCGGAUUUACUGGGUGUAAAGGGAGUGUAGGCGGGAAAGCAAGUCAGAUGUGAAAACCAUGGGCUCAACCUGUGGCCUGCAUUUGAAACUGGUUUUCUUGAGUACUGGAGAGGCAGACGGAAUGCCUAGUGUAGCGGUGAAAUGCGUAGAUAUUAGGAGGAACACCAGUGGCGAAGGCGGUCUGCUGGACAGCAACUGACGCUGAGGCGCGAAAGCGUGGGGAGCAAACAGGAUUAGAUACCCUAGUAGUC